UGAGAAACUUAACUUUACACCUAUCGUUUCUUUUGUCAAAACCUUAAUGAAUCUUUGAUAUGUGAUGCAAAAUUGCUAUCAUAAAACCUUGCCACUUAGAUUGUAAUUUUAGCGAGUAUUCACAUGAAAUGGUAUGCCACUGAAUAAUUCCAUUCAGGUUUUUCACAUUUCGUUUAGCAUAUUUGAGGCAGACUGCAGACAGAAAAACAUUAGAUGACUACAUGCUGGG
rnacentral:misc_RNA from 1 species